UCUGUUUGCUGCAGCGAGGUGGACUUGCCCAGCGUUGUUCUGCGCUGCUGUGGGCUGGAGUGCAGGGGCAGAGAGUUGAAGAGGAGGUUGAUUUGUUUUUACUCUUCUCCCCCAGAAUAAAAGAUUGCAUUGAUACC